rnacentral:rRNA from 1 species
GAUAAACGCUGGCGGCGUGCCUAAUACAUGCAAGUCGAGCGAACGGACGAGAAGCUUGCUUCUCUGAUGUUAGCGGCGGACGGGUGAGUAACACGUGGAUAACCUACCUAUAAGACUGGGAUAACUUCGGGAAACCGGAGCUAAUACCGGAUAAUAUUUUGAACCGCAUGGUUCAAAAGUGAAAGACGGUCUUGCUGUCACUUAUAGAUGGAUCCGCGCUGCAUUAGCUAGUUGGUAAGGUAACGGCUUACCAAGGCAACGAUGCAUAGCCGACCUGAGAGGGUGAUCGGCCACACUGGAACUGAGACACGGUCCAGACUCCUACGGGAGGCAGCAGUAGGGAAUCUUCCGCAAUGGGCGAAAGCCUGACGGAGCAACGCCGCGUGAGUGAUGAAGGUCUUCGGAUCGUAAAACUCUGUUAUUAGGGAAGAACAUAUGUGUAAGUAACUGUGCACAUCUUGACGGUACCUAAUCAGAAAGCCACGGCUAACUACGUGCCAGCAGCCGCGGUAAUACGUAGGUGGCAAGCGUUAUCCGGAAUUAUUGGGCGUAAAGCGCGCGUAGGCGGUUUUUUAAGUCUGAUGUGAAAGCCCACGGCUCAACCGUGGAGGGUCAUUGGAAACUGGAAAACUUGAGUGCAGAAGAGGAAAAGUGGAAUUCCAUGUGUAGCGGUGAAAUGCGCAGAGAUAUGGAGGAACACCAGUGGCGAAGGCGACUUUCUGGUCUGUAACUGACGCUGAUGUGCGAAAGCGUGGGGAUCAAACAGGAUUAGAUACCCUGGUAGUCCACGCCGUAAACGAUGAGUGCUAAGUGUUAGGGGGUUUCCGCCCCUUAGUGCUGCAGCUAACGCAUUAAGCACUCCGCCUGGGGAGUACGACCGCAAGGUUGAAACUCAAAGGAAUUGACGGGGACCCGCACAAGCGGUGGAGCAUGUGGUUUAAUUCGAAGCAACGCGAAGAACCUUACCAAAUCUUGACAUCCUUUGACAACUCUAGAGAUAGAGCCUUCCCCUUCGGGGGACAAGGUGACAGGUGGUGCAUGGUUGUCGUCAGCUCGUGUCGUGAGAUGUUGGGUUAAGUCCCGCAACGAGCGCAACCCUUAAGCUUAGUUGCCAUCAUUAAGUUGGGCACUCUAAGUUGACUGCCGGUGACAAACCGGAGGAAGGUGGGGAUGACGUCAAAUCAUCAUGCCCCUUAUGAUUUGGGCUACACACGUGCUACAAUGGACAAUACAAAGGGCAGCGAAACCGCGAGGUCAAGCAAAUCCCAUAAAGUUGUUCUCAGUUCGGAUUGUAGUCUGCAACUCGACUACAUGAAGCUGGAAUCGCUAGUAAUCGUAGAUCAGCAUGCUACGGUGAAUACGUUCCCGGGUCU